rnacentral:rRNA from 1 species
CACAAGUUAUGUUGUGUUAUCGACAAGUGAAUUCAUAGCUUGUCAGAAGGCAGACCCGGAGAACUGAAACAUCUUAGUACCCGGAGGAAGAGAAAGAAAAUUCGAUUCCCUGAGUAGCGGCGAGCGAAACGGGAAGAGCCCAAACCAAUAAGCUUGCUUAUUGGGGUUGUAGGACACUCUAUACGGAGUUACAAAGGAAUAUAUUAAACGAAUCAUCUGGAAAGUUGAAUCAAAGAAGGUAAUAAUCCUGUAGUUGAAAAUAUAUUCUCUCUUGAGUGGAUCCUGAGUACGACGGAGCACGUGAAAUUCCGUCGGAAUCUGGGAGGACCAUCUCCUAAGGCUAAAUACUCUCUAGUGACCGAUAGUGAACCAGUACCGUGAGGGAAAGGUGAAAAGUACCCCGGAAGGGGAGUGAAAGAGAACUUGAAACCGUGUGCUUACAAGUAGUCAGAGCCCGUUAAUGGGUGAUGGCGUGCCUUUUGUAGAAUGAACCGGCGAGUUACGAUCUGAUGCAAGGUUAAGCAGAAAAUGUGGAGCCGUAGCGAAAGCGAGUCUGAAUAGGGCGUAUAGUAUUUGGUCGUAGACCCGAAACCAGGUGAUCUACCCAUGGUCAGGUUGAAGUUCAGGUAACACUGAAUGGAGGACCGAACCGACUUACGUUGAAAAGUGAGCGGAUGAACUGUGGGUAGCGGAGAAAUUCCAAUCGAACUUGGAGAUAGCUGGUUCUCUCCGAAAUAGCUUUAGGGCUAGCCUCAAGUGAUGAUUAUUGGAGGUAGAGCACUGUUUGGACGAGGGGCCCCUCUCGGGUUACCGAAUUCAGACAAACUCCGAAUGCCAAUUAAUUUAACUUGGGAGUCAGAACAUGGGUGAUAAGGUCCGUGUUCGAAAGGGAAACAGCCCAGACCACCAGCUAAGGUCCCAAAAUAUAUGUUAAGUGGAAAAGGAUGUGGCGUUGCCCAGACAACUAGGAUGUUGGCUUAGAAGCAGCCAUCAUUUAAAGAGUGCGUAAUAGCUCACUAGUCGAGUGACACUGCGCCGAAAAUGUACCGGGGCUAAACAUAUUACCGAAGCUGUGGAUUGUCCUUUGGACAAUGGUAGGAGAGCGUUCUAAGGGCGUUGAAGCAUGAUCGCAAGGACAUGUGGAGCGCUUAGAAGUGAGAAUGCCGGUGUGAGUAGCGAAAGACGGGUGAGAAUCCCGUCCACCGAUUGACUAAGGUUUCCAGAGGAAGGCUCGUCCGCUCUGGGUUAGUCGGGUCCUAAGCUGAGGCCGACAGGCGUAGGCGAUGGAUAACAGGUUGAUAUUCCUGUACCACCUAUAAUCGUUUUAAUCGAUGGGGGGACGCAGUAGGAUAGGCGAAGCGUACGAUUGGAUUGUACGUCUAAGCAGUGAGAUUGAGUGUUAGGCAAAUCCGGCACUCUUAAGAUUGAGCUGUGAUGGGGAGAGGAAAUUGUUUCCUCGAGUCGUUGAUUUCACACUGCCGAGAAAAGCCUCUAGAUAGAGAUUAGGUGCCCGUACCGCAAACCGACACAGGUAGUCAAGAUGAGAAUUCUAAGGUGAGCGAGCGAACUCUCGUUAAGGAACUCGGCAAAAUGACCCCGUAACUUCGGGAGAAGGGGUGCUCUUUAGGGUGCAAGCCCAGAAGAGCCGCAGUGAAUAGGCCCAAGCGACUGUUUAUCAAAAACACAGGUCUCUGCUAAACCGUAAGGUGAUGUAUAGGGGCUGACGCCUGCCCGGUGCUGGAAGGUUAAGAGGAGUGGUUAGCUUCUGCGAAGCUACGAAUCGAAGCCCCAGUAAACGGCGGCCGUAACUAUAACGGUCCUAAGGUAGCGAAAUUCCUUGUCGGGUAAGUUCCGACCCGCACGAAAGGCGUAACGAUUUGGGCACUGUCUCAACGAGAGACUCGGUGAAAUCAUAGUACCUGUGAAGAUGCAGGUUACCCGCGACAGGACGGAAAGACCCCGUGGAGCUUUACUGUAGC